UACGGAGGGAGCUAGCGUUGUUCGGAAUUACUGGGCGCAAAGCGCACGUAGGCGGCUUUGUAAGUUAGAGGUGAAAGCCCGGGGCUCAACUCCGGAACUGCCUUUAAGACUGCAUCGCUUGAAUCCAGGAGAGGUGAGUGGAAUUCCGAGUGUAGAGGUGAAAUUCGUAGAUAUUCGGAAGAACACCAGUGGCGAAGGCGGCUCACUGGACUGGUAUUGACGCUGAGGUGCGAAAGCGUGGGGAGCAAACAGG
rnacentral:rRNA from 1 species